AUUUCCCAUAAAAAUAAAGGGUACUUUUUUUUCAUUUUUCCCGCUAUUCCUCCUUCCCUUUCUCUGCUUUCACUUCUGCCAUCGCCGUCAUCGUUUCUUCCACCGCCGCCGCUGCUUCUUCUUCCUUCGCCGCCGCUUCUUCUGCAAUCGCUUCCGCUGCUUCUGAAGAACGUAGUCUCGAGGUUGGCCCAUCUUGAGUCGCCCCCAUCCACCCAUACAACCUGAUGCUCCGAUUUGCCCUAAUUUGAAGAAAUCGUUCAACGGUUCUACUUAAUUCAAGAUUCCCAAGUUGUAGGCUCCAGGGGAUGGUCGUCUAUUUCUCGUUAUCGAGCAUCAAUGCGUACUCAGUCUCCCAAGGUUGAGAUAAUUGAUAGUAUGUUCCAGCCUGUGGCUAGAACUAAUCAAGAUCAUGGCAUGAUCAGUUCUUAUAACUUGUGGAAUUGGAGGUCAUGACCGCAUUCAAACCAUUGGAGUUCUUCGGAUCAGCUUUUGAUGCUUUAUAUGUUUCUGUUCUCACAACACUGAAAACAAGCAAGCUGCAGGAAGUUUCGUAAUGCUUGACAUUCUGGUUGGUGGGCAGCAAAAUGUCCUGUUAGUUAUAUCAAUGGCGUCUCCUUUCUUCCUCCCUUCAGUGUGCAAAAUCAGUUUCAGUGGCUUCAGUCUACUUUUCAAGGUAUUCAAUAAUCCGAGGGAGCGGCCUUUCACCUUUGAGGAGAUAGAUGAAGUUCGAGAAAUGUUGGCAAAAUUCAUUACCAGCGAUUGUAUUUGAUAUUUUCUUGUACUGAAUCUUAAAUCAUGGAUGUUAGCUAGUUUUUCAUAUGAUUGUAUCAACUUUUAUAUUUACAAUUAUAUACUAUUAAAUUUAAUUAUCUAUAUAAUUGGAUACUUUUUAUA